rnacentral:rRNA from 1 species
GUGGGGUAAUGGCCUACCAAGGCUUCGACGGGUAGCCGGCCUGAGAGGGUGAUCGGCCACACUGGGACUGAGACACGGCCCAGACUCCUACGGGAGGCAGCAGUGGGGAAUAUUGGACAAUGGGCGGAAGCCUGAUCCAGCAACGCCGCGUGAGGGAUGACUGCCUUCGGGUUGUAAACCUCUUUCAUCAUUGACGAAGUCCAGCGUUUAGUUGGGUGACGGUAGGUGGAGAAGAAGCACCGGCCAACUACGUGCCGGCAGCCGCGGUAAUACGUAGGGUGCGAGCGUUGUCCGGAAUUAUUGGGCGUAAAGGGCUCGUAGGCGGUUUGUCGCGUCGGGAGUGAAAACACUGGGCUUAACCGAGUGCUUGCUUUCGAUACGGGCAGACUAGAGGUAUGCAGGGGAGAACGGAAUUCCUGGUGUAGCGGUGAAAUGCGCAGAUAUCAGGAGGAACACCGGUGGCGAAGGCGGUUCUCUAGGCAUUACCUGACGCUGAGGAGCGAAAGUGUGGGGAGCGAACAGGAUUAGAUACCCUGGUAGUCCACACCGUAAACGUUGGGCGCUAGGUGUGGGGCCUAUUCCAUGGGCUCCGUGCCGCAGCUAACGCAUUAAGCG